rnacentral:tRNA from 1 species
GCCAGUGUGGUAUAGUGGUUUAAGCAUUGGAUUACAAAUCUAGAGACCAGAGUUAAAAUCUCCACUAUGGUA